UUAAAACGUAUUUUUUUUCAACAAAAUAUUUUUCGUUUCGUAAUGGAAAUUGUAAACAAAGUAGGCAAACUACGAAACUUCAAGGCCUUGUUCGUCUAGCCAUAGGGUUUUACAUUCAGUACAACACCCGAGCUCGUCCAGUGAACAACUCCGUAUUUUCGAUUUCUUCAUAAGUUUUCGGUUAUCUCGCAGAGUUUUUUUUUGUCAUGAAAUUUCGAGCGUCAGAUCAGAUAUUUACCGUCGUAGGCCAGCAGGUCUUUUCUAUCUCUGUUAAAAGCUUUGGCUACGUGGCAUUUCUUAGAGAGGAUCACAUCGAAAAACACAAUUGCUUUUUAGUGCAUUCGAAACUCGACACGUUUUGUUAACUCAAAUUUAAGGUUGGCCACAUUAAAAUUUUGAUUCACAUUUAUAAGGACUAUAUGCCUAAGUCCAGUCUUGAAUCUUUACAAUUUUUUCUUAUAAGUGUAAGGGAAAAUUUGAAACUUUAGAUUUGAGUCUAGACUUAGACAUGUAGUCUUUAUGAUUGUGAAACAACAUUUAAAUGAGGCCAUUUUUAGAUUUGAGAUAACGAAACUUGCCGACAUUUCGGUAUGGCGACAAACAAUUGUAUUUUUCAGUGGAAACCUUUCAAGGGAAUUCCACGUAGCCAAUGCUUAUAGCAAGGAUAGAGAGGACCUGCUGGCCUAUGUCGAUAAUGAUCUGAUCGGUCGUUGAAAAUUUUGCGAUGAGGAGGUCCGAGAGGCGCUUAAAAACUUAUCGAUAAUGAGGACUUCGAAGAGGAAGGGGUUCAGGAUGUUGAGCUCCAGUUCUGCGGCUUGGCGGGAACCUGUAAACCAGUCACCAGUUCCAUUUCAACUACUAGAAGCUCCUUCAGGACAACAGAGUCUUCGUUCAUCUGGCGAUUCUUGUGGAGUUAAUUUUGCAAAGAAGGUGGAGAGGGCCGUCCUCCCAAUGCCAGGGAGGAUCUUCGCUAUAGUCAUACGUCCAACGAAUCUUCUCUACAAGUGAAUAACGUCCAUCAAAGAGAGAGAAGAAACCUUAUCGAGCCGGCACUGCAGAAAUGGGAGCUUUUUCAGAUCAAAUCAUUCCCAAUAAAUAACAAAUUUUGUUAACAAAUUUUUAACACA